rnacentral:rRNA from 1 species
CAGUAGCCACGGUAAAACGUAGGUGGCGAGCGUUGUCCGGAAUUAUUGGGCGUAAAGGGAGCGCAGGCGGACAUAUAAGUCCGUCUUAAAAGUGCGGGGCUCAACCCCGUGAGGGGAUGGAAACUGUAUGCCUUGAGUGCAGGAGAGGAAAGCGGAAUUCCCAGUGUAGCGGUGAAAUGCGUAGAUAUUGGGAGGAACACCAGUGGCGAAGGCGGCUUUCUGGACUGUAACUGACGCUGAGGCUCGAAAGCCAGGGGAGCGAACGGGAUUAGAUACCCCCGUAGUCCCUGUCUCUUAUACA